rnacentral:lncRNA from 1 species
ACAAUAAAAAUAAAUUUCUACUAAAAAUUACUAAUUAAAAUUAAAUUUUUUAUUAUUUUAACUUUCCCUCCGCAUCCGAAAAAAAUUAUCUUUCCCUCCAAUUUUUUGGACAACAAUGAAUUAUUCCCUCCAAUUGAACAUGAAAUGGGUUUAUCUAUUCUCUCAGUUUUUGGGGCUUUUUCCUCUGGCUUUCGUACAUUUAAUUGAUUAUUACGUCAAAAAAUUGAAGGCACAUUCAUAAUAGCAAGGAAUCAAAAAAGGCAUCGGUCUCUCAAUAUUCUUCGAAAAUCAUUCCAAAAUAUUUCUCACCGCUUCAAAUCUGGCGAACAUAUAUCAACAAUGAAUAGAACCGCUUCCAUUGCAGUGGCACCAAAAAUUGAUAAUAAAUCAACAAUCAACAAGGAGAAGAAACAACCCAGCAACCGUUUCAAGCUAAAUCUCAAUUCCAGAUGCAAUAGCGAGAAGAAAUCAAUUUAACCAUCUGUGAGAAAGAUAUGAAGGUACAAAGCUUCAUAUUUUGUUGGUAUUUGUCUUUAUCAAUUUAAUCAAUUUGACUUUUACAUCAUUUGUCCUAUGGAAAGAGGAAAAAAACUGGGAAUAACAUCUCCAACCGGUGUUUGCAGCAUUUAUAAAAUUUAUAAUUCUGUUUCUACAAAAAAUGAUGGAUGUAUUAGAGUGACAAAAUGAGCUAAUCAACAAAAGGAAAGUGUUUUUCUUGUGAUUUUAUCGGAUAAAAGAAUGACAAUUCAGAAGAAGAUAUAAGAGAGAGGAAAUGUGAUAUGUCAAGAUGAUGGUAAGGUAAAAACUAGCUUUUUUAAUUUCUAUUUUUAUAUUUGCUAUGAACUUUUGCUGAAGAGCAAAGACAUGAUAAAUAGGAGUUGAGAAAUUUUUUUCAAAAAGGUUAAAUAGUGUAUUUCUUCCCUCAUUUUGCAGCGUAUUUUUAUAUUGGUUAUGAAUCUAAUGAUUGUUCUUUAGCUGUAUGAUAGUAAAAAUGCAGAAAAGAUAGUGUAACAAUAACAAUUCCUCAACUGAACAAGAAGACAAUAAAUAAAGGGUGAAAAAAUAAAAGACAUCAGAGUGGUAGGAAAAUCUUUGUUAAGGUAUUAUUCUGUUAAUUUUUAAGAAUGGGAAGAAUAUUUUAGGUGUAUAUCAAUCCUAAGUUUCCUUUGGUAUGUAAUAAUGAUAACCAUUUUACUUUUCCUUUACCUUUUAAGACCGAUUCUUCGAUGACCAAUUGUGUUACAUUUGCAUCUUUGCCUUCUUCCCUUAGUUAUUUUCAACUUUCUAGCUUUGCUUCUGCCUGUUGCAAGAAGAUAUUCAACGAAUCACACGUGACGAUGGUUGAUUACUAAUGUAUCUUCUGAUAUGUUCAUUUCAUUUGUUAAAUGCUGACUAAUCUGGAGAUUUCACGCUGAGCCAUGUUCUUUUUCUUAAUCUAAUAGAUGGAGGCAUUUUUCCUUGAAAAAACUCGAUUUGUUAGGAUACUUGUCUGUCUUAAUAUCUAGGAGUGAAUUUUUCAUUUUUUGCCUGUGCUUCUUGAUUAGAAAAUUGUCGAAUGCUAUCCUAAUGACUUUAUUUGUGAAAUAAAUUAUUUGUCAAUUAAACAGAGUAUCGUUACCCAAAGUUUGUGAUAGCAGUAUUUUAAUAUUUUUGUAGUUUGAAUGCAAUAGUAUUCUCUUGAUUGCUUCUUAAAUUACUGUGUCAUUUGUUUAUGUAGAACUUGGAUGUGAAUUGAAUUUAUUUAUUUUUACUAAAAGAGAAGGCUUAGCUUGCAAGUUGCAGUGUAUGUGUAAAGUAAUAUAAUACUUUGUGGAUGACUAUGUGGUUGAUUAUUUUUCUGGAAAAUAUGUGAAUUGUCUGUGUAGAAUCCACCUAUUAUGACUCUAUUAUUUGAGUACCUCAAUCUAAUAUGACACUAUUUUUUUACCUUCCUGUAGGUAUUUGAUCUAAUUAUGGGACGAAAAUUUUGAUAUGUAUGGAUUCUUAUAUGUGCAAGUAUUUACAGUUUUAAUAGUGAUUUUAAUUGUUUAUAAGAUUUCUCUGUAAUUGUAGGUAACUUGCAGAGGAGUUGCAGAUGGUCGUGACUGAAGUGGAACCACUGAGACCAAUGAGGUGCAUAAUAUGAAACGUCUCAAGGUGUUUUUUUGUACUUAAAUCAUUGUUCAUCUCUUAAGUUUUCAUCUAUUCCGUAAAGUUAUUUGAAUGUGCGAAAAGCUUAUGGUAGUUCUCUGCCUCUCUCAUAUUGCAUUCAUAGACUCCGUGACAUAGUAUAUCUGAGCAAUUUUUGGACUAAGCAACAGUCCCUGAAAACUAUAAUCCUCAAACCUUUUCAAGUACUCAGUCUCUUUUUAAUAUACCAUGUUGGUAUUAGUCAUGGCCAGCUUGCACACUAGAGAGUUGUUGGGAUGGAGCAUGAAUUGUCACAUCAUAUGAUGAAGUUUACAACAGCUUUUAUGCUUGUGUGUGCAAGAAAAGCUUGUGAGAAAAAUCUAUGCCUGUGAUUUUGAGAAUUCUUUUGCUAUUCAACAUAUGACUAUUCUUCUCUACAAAGUCUUGAUGCUAACCAACAGGCACAAUCUGGAACUAAAAAGCAAAUUUCACGUUUACUUUAUACUAUAUGGAGUAUGUUUUCUUGUAAAAUAAAGGGAGAAAAAAGAAAAUAGUGAUCUUUAACCAAUCUCAAAAUAGGAACAUGAAGCUUCUCACCAUAUUAUAUGUUUGUUUGGUUAUAAUAUAAUUUAUCAAUGUUUGUGGCCAUGAGGUAAUGUUACAGAAUAUUUAUCAGGAACAUGAUGCUAAUAGUGUCCAUGAACGAGUACCACAGACAUCAAGGAUACCUAAUAUUAUUGAAAAUACUCCAAUGUCUUACGGUAUUACUCAUCUUUAUCCUUCGGCAAGCUACUAUUUGAGUUUUCUAUUGUUUGAAUUUUCCUCCAAUUUUUUUUUUUUAUCAUUGGAGUCUAAUUUCAUGCAAACUUGCAAGAGUUAGCAUGAACGGCAAAAUCUUGCAGCUUUCACUUAUUUAUAUUAUAACAGUAACUUCACUUGCCUAAAUAAACCUCCAGGGUACAAUUUUGCAUGUAACAAACAAUACUUGUUAAGAUGGUUGCUGUUGUUCUUUUCACUACUUGUAAUUUCAGAAUACAUCAUUUUCUUCUCAUGUUUCUCUAAUUUCUCCUGGAAAUCUGAUCCAUUACAACCCUCAGUGGCUGCAAGAUAUUUGUGUUCUUUUAGGCAUGGAAAGUCCAUGAACUUGUGCAUAUUGGUAUUUAACAUGUAGUUGGUUUGCAGAUGUGAUAACUUAUUUUUUUCCUGCUGGAUGGUUGGUCUGAUGGUGCUGUUCAUUAGACAAUGCACAUGUUCUUAAUGUCUAAAUUUGUAUGAUCAUCUCUCUCUUGCAUUCCUCUUAUAUUUAGUGUUGCGCUAGUAGGAGAAGAAGAUUUCUUGCUUAUGUGUACAUCUAAAGUGCAUCGCAAACCUUUUAAUUUGUGUUUAACUGAUUGUAUGCAUACCUUACUCUCCUUUUAUCUAAUUUAUUGUCGUUAAGAUUUGUUUUGUUAGGUUUCGCAUGAUACCUUGUCAUUUCAACCCCAACAUAUGUAUGACUAGUGAAAUAAAUUAAUGGUGAAUCUUGCUCUAUUUGUCAUUCAAUCUCUCUAUUCAAUGGAAGUACAAACUAUACAAAGAAAAAUAAAAGAUUGGCCAACAAAGAUAAAUAACAACUUGAUCAUUUGUUUACCCCUUGAUUUUGGUGUUUUUCUGCUUUCAUUUACCUAUAAGAAAGAUCAAGAAAUUGAGAUUCUAUAACGUUAUAGCCACUUCGUUUAUCAAGAAACUAAAUGAAUCAUGUUACUGGAAGCCUUUUGAUACACAUUUGUCUUUGGGACGAGAAAAAAUGUUGCAUAUGCAGAGACUUCCUUCUAUUCCCCGACAGGCAUGGAACCAAGCCAUAAGGCUAGCCAUUGAAAGCUAUAAAAUGGGAACAAUCUUUGGCAAUGUGAAGUUUGUCAAACUUGUGAUAGACAACUCUAAUCCUUCCAUACAUAAUCUUCCAUCCUGCUGCACCAAGUAUUAGGGGGUAAAGUUCUUAGACAAUGACUUCUGACCUUUUCUGGAAAGAUGGACAUAGUAUUUUGUAAACAUCUCUGUAUACCCUUUUUCUUUCUUUCCCUAGUGUUCUGUGAUCCAUGCUCAUAUUACCUCAAGCUCAUAUUAACUUACAUACACUUUCUUUGUCUAAUCUAUUUAGUAUUAUGAGCAGAUUAAGUGACAUGCUUCACUAUUAUCACCGUUUCUCUUCCCAACAUUGAAUGAGCAUUGUGUGUUCUCUUUUACUAUAUGGAAAAAUUGACUUACCUAAUCAUAAUUUCAAGCAAGAUUUAACUUAGCCUGGAAUUGAGGAUUAUUGUAUUUCAUCUAUUGACAUAUUUAUUUUAUAAUUUCAGAUCAUAUAGUCUAAUGUUCGAUAAUUUAGCGGGUGGAAGAUUUUAAUAUGACAAAGAGUUGCAGAAAUUAUUUGAAGAUUGUUAUUCGUUAAGAUUAGUUAUAUAAUGACAUUAGCUAUUUACUUCAAACAAUAUAAAUUUAUCUUUUAAGUUACAGUGAUAUUAAUACCUUUUACCAGCUUUUGUUAGAAAUACCGCUAAAGGCUUUACCGACCCCGGCUUCAGCGGCGAAACACCAAUUGCCGGUAAAUGAUAUAGUGGCUAUUGUAAUUCCGCCAAUGCUAUUUUUUAUUGCCGCUAAAGUCCCUUUUUGUUGUAGGGCACAUUGAACAAAUGAGCUCCGAUUAUUGUUUUUAUUGAAGCAUUAGAUCUAUAUCGUAAUUAUGGAGUCAUAGCAAAAAAGGAAUCAUCAAAUUUGGACAUCGUAUAAGAAUUUUAUAGUCAUUUUACUAAGAAUUGGGUUGCCAAAUUUGUCAGAUUAAUUACGAAACUGCCACUGCUAAGUAUUUAAAAAUUUGCACUAUUUUCAAAUAUUGAAACCAGCAUAUCUUUUUCAAUAUAAGGUUAAAUGGAGUGAUUUAAGAGCCUAACUUGACUAGAAUUUUAUAAGAAAUCCAUUGGAGGUAUCAAAAGCAAGUUUAGAGAUCUUUUGGCACAAUAAACGAGGUAGAACAAUUUUAAAAUGAGGGUUUUGUGCAUUUAACAUAUUUUGAGUUGGGGAGCUCGUAAUUGGGCAAUAUUUCGAGACGUUUUUCAGCAUAUAAAUUGGGGUAAGUGUUCUCUACUCAGUUUUGGUUAUAUUUCAUGAAUCUAUCUUCGAUUUUAGCUUUUGAUUGAUGAAUUUUAAAGAAGAAAUUAGGGGAUUUGGCCUAAAGUUUCAUAAUAUGAAAUUUUGAGUUUUGAACACUGAUAGCUGGAUUUGAGUGAAGCUAGUAUGGUUGAACUCAUAAUUUAAUAGGUUAACAGGUUUUGUGAGUUUUGUCGGGUUCCGAGGUGCAGGACCGGGUUGGGCCUUUUGGCCGAUUUUGGGCUUUUGAUUAAAGAUUCGACCUUUUUCGAUUGGGAUUGGUUCCUUUAGCACUGUUUGAUGUAUUUUAGUUGUUUGUGAUUAGUUUCGAGCCAUUUGGAAGUCGGAAAGCGUGUGAUGGAUUCUUGGAGCAUCGCUUGGCUUGCUCGGUGUCGGAAUUGGCUUGUUUAAGAAAAGUAACUCUUCUAAACUUAGUGUUGAGGGUAUAAAACCCCAAAUUAUGUACUAUGUGAUUUGUGUUGAGGUGACGCACAUGCUAGGUUAUGGGUGUGUGGGCAUGCACCUUGUGAGUUGUGACUCUGUUGUUUCCAGGGCAUUGAAUAGUGGCCCUAUUUUAUUAAUAUAUGUGUUUUCACCAUGCGAUAACAUAAAUGAGUUGUACAUCAUGCUAGAUAUCAUGUUUACGCUUUAUGCUAAUAAUGUUAGGACCCAUAGUGUUCGUUUCUUGCUGUCAUCUCAUUGAAUUCAUUGAUAUUUCGUACUCAGUCACAUUCAUGAAUUCAUAUCAUAUCUCAGUCUCAGUUGUUGCUUAUUGAUACAUCAUAUCAUUAUUCCGGGUCAGUUUUCAUGACAUUGUGAGCCCGCGGGAGAGACUGGAGAGAUUGAUGACUAAGUGAGGCCGAGAGCCUGAUUAUGAGUGACAGUUAUGGGAUCGGGUUGCAUGCCGCAGCACAUUAUUGAUUAUGCCUUUGUUGGCAUGUUAUAGCGCUUGGGCUGAAGGAGCCCCUCCGGAGUCUACACACCCGCAAUGAGUGCGGAUGAUAUUAUUGAGGGAUGGAUUUCUCUGGAUAUAGAUUUGUCCGAAGCAUUGAUUAUAUUCAGGGAUAGAUCUUCUCUUGGUAUGGAGAUGGAUCUUCUCCAUGAGGUUGGAUUGGUAUAUAUUUCGGGAUGGAUCUUCCUUGGGCUGAAUGGGCCAUGUACAAUACCGAGUGGUUGAUUAUGAUGAGUGGAAGGUCUGAUACAGUGAGGUUGAGUACUCUAAGAGUGAGAGUACAUGAUUUAUCUCUAAGUUACAUGCUAUUGACAUGCAUAUUUGACAUACAUGCAUAGAGACAUAUUUUCCUCAUUCUAUAUGGUAUCACAUCAUUUAUAACAUUUUUACACACAUCGAUAUGUGGUCAUAGGGAGGUAUCUCACACUUGUUAUUUUAAAAGAAAAUGAAACAUCUUAUUUAUUGUAAAAAAGGAUUUUCUGAAAAAGAAAUACAGUUUACAAACUAUCUCAUAUUUCAAGACGUUUUCGGUAAAGAAUUUGUGUUUUUCACUAAUUUUGUUAAAAGGCGGAACUAUUUUUUGAAAAAUAUGAAAAGGCUGAGAAUAUUAUCUCAGAGCUACUUCUUAUGUACUUGCUUUACACUAUUAUGAACUAUUAUUGGUUAUUGGUGUUGGACCCAACCUAUGCUCUAAAUCGUCACUACUUUCAACCUAAGAUUAGGUUUGUUACUUUUUGAGUACAUGGGGUCGGUUGUACUCAUACUGUACUUUCUACACAUUGCGUGCAGAUCCCGGAUGCCGAUGUUGCUGCAUUCAACGGUUGUUGGAUUAGAAGGCGUACCUGCGUUCCUAUUGUAUGCUGCCUAUUGUUCAUGGUAGAUGUGGAUUUAUAAAAACUCUAUUUUUGUACUUUUCGAACAGAAGAUAUAUUUAUUUCAUAUCAGCUUUGUAAAGUCUAUUAUUAGAAGCUCAUGAUUUGUACUACUAGUCUUUGGAAAAUGUAAUAGAU